GCACACUUCUGGUCUGGUGGCGAGUGGCGAACGGGUGAGUAAUGAAUGGAACGCCUAGUAGCGGGGGAUAACUACGCGAAAGCGUAGCUAGUACCGCAUACGCCCUCGGGGGAAAGCGGGGACCUUCGGGCCCGCACUAGUUAGGAGCGUGUCGAUAAUGGAUUAGCUAGUUGGUGGGGUAACGGCUCAACAGGCGACGAUCCGUAGCUGGUUUGAGGAGGACGACCAGCCACACUGGACUGAGACACUACCCAGACUCUGGAGGCAGUGGGAAUUUCGGACAAUGGGGAAACCCUGAUCCAGCCAUCUCCGCGUGUGCGAUGAAGGCCUUCGGGUUGUAAAGCACUUUUUGGCAGGAAAGAAACGGCACGGGAUAAUACCCCGUGCAACUGACGGUACCUGCAGAAUAAGCACCGCUAACUACGUGCCACAGCAGCCGCGUAAAUACGUAGAAAAAAUGUUAAUCGAAUUGAUUGGGCGUAAAGCGUGCGCAGGCGGUUCGGAAAGAAAGAUGGAAUCCUGAGUUUCAACUUUAGAACCGCAUUUUUGGGACCAACAGAGCUAGAGUGUGUCAGAGAGGUGGAAUUUGCGUAGUGAAAUGCGUAGAUAUGCGGAGGAACACCGAUGGCGAAGGCAGCCUCCGGGAUAACACUGACGCUCAUGCACGAAAGCGUGGGGAGCAAACAGGAUUAGAUACCCUGGUAGUCCACGCCCUAAAACGAUGAUGUCAACUAGCUGUUGGGGCCUUCGGGCCUGGUAGCGCAGCUAACGCGUGAAGGACUGCCCGGGAGUACGGUCGCAAGAUUAAACUCAAAGGAAUUGACGGGGACCCGCACAAACGGUGGAUGAUGUGGAUUAAUUCGAUGCAACGCGAAAACCUUACCUAAAUUCUUGACAUGUUCAACCUUGAGAGAUUUGGGAGUGCUCGCAAGAGAACCGAACACAGGUGCUGCAUGGCUGUUUGUCAGCUCGUGAAAUGUGAGAUGUUAGGUUAAGUCCCGCAACGAGCAACCCUUGUCAUUAGUUGCUACGAAAGGGUACUCUCAUCGAGACUGCCGGUGACAAACCGAGGCAGGGGGAUGAAUGUCAAGUCCUCAUGGCCCUUAUGGGUAGGGCUUCUACGACGUCAUACAAUGGUCGGGACAGAGGGUCGCCACCCGCGAGGGGAGCCAACUUGUGAAACCUCGAUCGUAGUCCGGAUCGCAGUCUGCAACCUCGACUGCGUGAAGUCGGAAUCGCUAGUAACGCAGGGAUCAGCAUGUCGCGGUGAAUACGUUCCUGGUCUGCAGGAAGACACCUGCCCGUCACACUAUGGGAGUGGGUUUUUACCAGAAGUAGUUAGCCUAACUGUAAGGAGGGGGCAUUGUCAUGGGAUUCAUGACUGGGGUGAAGUCGUAACAAGGUAGC
rnacentral:rRNA from 1 species